rnacentral:misc_RNA from 1 species
CAGAGUUACAUAGCUUGUGUCCCCAUGCAAUUAAAACAGUUUAAAGUCUUGCACACUAACUCCAGAAAAAAAAGGCCCAAGGCCUAAAAGGAAUAUAGAGCUAAUAGCAAGAAUUGUAAGCCCAUGAUUUAGAUAGAAUAUACACCUAGAUUAUGGCCUAGCCCAAGUGAAAAAAACCCAAAAUAAUAGAAGCCAUAGCAAGGGCUAGACCCAACAACCAAAGUAGAGGAAGCUCAAAAAAGAAUGGAAGAUCUGUACCAUCCAUGCCUCAUCCAACCAGUAGCCGGGGACUAAUUAAGCACCAAGAGUUGAGACAAGCCAUGCAUGGCAAGGAUAGUGCCCAAGAGAGCUCCAAAAAAGACAAAUAUCAACCCAAUAUCAACAAGCAAAAUCGAGUUAGGUGCUGAGAUAACAAAAGUUGAGAAGUUCAAAAUCAUGAAAGUGUAGGAGAAAAAGGAAGGCUUGGUAGAGCUUUUUGACAAUCUUAGUCCCAUAUAACCAUUUGAGGGACAGAAAGCUUCUAGAGGUGCCUAAAGUCCCCAGGAUGACAAGCCUCAACAACAUCUUUCUCACCCUACAUAAACCCACAAAAACAAGAAUUGAAAGAACAAAACACAACAAAUAUUGGUAGCCAAAAAUAUUCCUCAACCAUUCAUAGUUGUUGCACAAUCAAAACACAAGACAAUAUACAUCCAGACCCAACAAUGGGGAGGGAAGAAGACCCACUGAUCAAAUCGAGGAAGGGUAGCCUUCCCCUACCCAAAAGGGCAGAGGAAAGCCGCUAGAUGCUGCAGAAGAAAAGGAUUAAACCCUAGGAGAAAAAAUAGGUAGAGAGUGAG